GCUACUGCCAUCAGAGUUCGAUUAAGCCAUGUUAGUCGAGGGCGCUUCUUCUUCGGAAGAAGUAACCCGGCGGACGGCUCAGUAACACGUGGAUAACUUGCCCUUGGGUCCGGGAUAACCCCUGAGAAAUUGGGGACAAUACCGGAUAGGGCAUCGAUAGCUGGAAUGCGCGAUGUCCAAAAGCUGAGGCGCCCAAGGAUAGGUCUGCGGCCGAUUAGGUUGUUGUUGAUGUAAUGGAUCAACAAGCCUGCAAUCGGUACGGGUUGUGAGAGCAAGAGCCCGGAGAUGGGUUCUGAGAAAAGAACCCAGGUCCUACGGGACGCAUCAGGCGCGAAAACUUUACAAUGUGCGAAAGCACGAUAAGGGAACUCUGAGUGCCUCCUAUGGAGGCUGUUCAGGUGUCUAAAAAGCACUUGAAGUAAGGGCUGGUAAGACCGGUGCCAGCCGCCGCGGUAACACCGGCAGCCCAAGUGGUAGCCACGAUUAUUGGGUCUAAAGCGUCCGUAGCCGGCCAGGUAAGUUCUUUGGGAAAUUUAACCGCUCAACGGUUAAGCUUUCAGGGAAUACUGCUUGGCUUGGGACCGGGAGAGGUCAGAGGUACUUCAAGGGUAGGGGUGAAAUCCGUUAAUCCUUGAGGGACCACCAGUAGCGAAGGCGUCUGACCAGACCGGGUCCGACGGUGAGGGACGAAGGCUAGGGUCGCGAACCGGAUUAGAUACCCGGGUAGUCCUAGCUGUAAACGAUGCGGGCCAGGUGUUGGCAUUUACUGCGAGUGAUGUCAGUGCCCGAAGGGAAGCCGUUAAGCCCG
rnacentral:rRNA from 1 species